GUUAUGUUUUUAAGGAGGUGAAGGGAGAUUGGCUACACUGGUGAAACUAUAGAUCGAUCUGAACCUCAGAUUCAUCACCCUAAAGCAGAUAGAUGUUACCUAAUACUGCCAACAUUUCCACCUAAUACAGCAUGUAGCAUUUAUUCUCAUGCUUCUGCAAAUCCCUGUAGUGCUGUUGUAUCCACAGCCUUGCUUCAAGGGUCCUUAUCUCACCCUGCAACCAUGAACUGAAUGUACAGUGCCUGUCAGAUCUGUUAGUAAACAGUGUCUGGAAAUCAUGCUGCUAAAUAUGAAAAUAUAAUUCUAGUCCAUAAGGGAUGCACUUGAGCACUGCUCUUCUGUUCUUAUGUUGGCUUAUCCCAGAGCAGCUCUUCCCUGAGUUAUGUUCAUAGUGUAAGUAAUAUAUUGGGUAUAUUACCCUAGCACCACUAGGGUAAGGGAGUCAUCCAGGAUGACUAAGGUAGAUGGUAGAAUGAUGUCUGUUCAGUAUUUCCUAGCUUGGUCAUUCCUUUUCAGGUAUAAACUCAAAGGUCAUGGGAAGUAUAAGACUGGUCGUAUACAUAAAACAGCUUUGUGUGUUCUUAAGGCAGUGAGUAACAUCUUUAAACAUCACCAGAACCAAGUACCUUAAGGAAUGUGAGGGAGAUGGACUAAAAUGUUGCAGAUUACUGCUUUUAUGCGUGAGUUUUAUCUACUCAUGACUGUGGUAUACUGCCCACAACGUGGUGUUUUUGAAGCUGUGGUCUCCACAUCUUGGAAGGACAUACAAAGAGAAGUAAAAUGGUUUGGGAGGAUAGUAACAGUCUGAAGGUGAAAACCUGAAAGCAAAAAAAUCAUAAACAUAAACAUUGUCUAGAGAAAAAUGAUGAGGGGUAUGAUUAAAAAAUUAUGAGAACUGUGGGUAAAAUGAAUACACAACUGCUAUUAAUCCAAUUUUACAGUACACUCAUUGAAAAUAGGAUGUAUGGAAUGCUUACAGUACUAGGUAAAGCAUUUCCUCAGAGGAUUCCAUAGCUGUGAUGGACCUCUCUAUGGGUGUUAUUUUGGAUAUUUAUUUCAUUUCAUUUCCCAUCCUGCUCUUCAUACAGUUCAGACAAAAAGUAAUGAAAAUAUUCAGAUUUAUUAAAUGGAAUAAAACUAACUAAUGCCUUUAGUGGGGCUUUCAACAAAGCCAGGAAUUCUUCAGAAAACACACGUCAAGAAAGAUCAUAUCCUCCAAACUGCUUCAUAUUUUUAAAUUCGGGGUUACUUACUGGUGAGACUAAGCCAAGAUUCAAGCUUGAACUUUUUUUUUUUAGGUUUUGGAUAUUAUUAGUAAUCUAUGACAAGGUUCAUGUAGUUCUCUAUUGUUUUCAUUAGCUAAAGGGAAAGGUAAUUUGAUGUGUACACAUUUAAGGAUGUGCUUGAAAGGGUUCAUUAGCUCAUGAUGUUAUAUUUUGGCUCAUACUGUAGUGCAUGCUAUGCCUUCCCAGAAAAUAGACUCAUCCUUGGUUGGAGACAUGAAAUGUAAGGAUAGCAGAUCCUCCUGAGAUAAAUGGAUGGACAAAUGUAUGCAUUAAAAGAAGGAAUAGAGAAAGACAGAAGUGCUGGAGAUAAACUGUACUUGGAGAAUCAGAGAAGUCCUAACUUAAUGUCUUAGAAUGACUUACUUGUCUUAGAUUAUGCCUGUUUUUACUGAUUGUUAUUUUUACUUAUAAUAUUUAUUGAGAGAUAAAAUUUACCCAGACUUUAAUGUUAAUGGGUAUUGCAGCAUGUUUAACUGAGUCAAAAUUAUCUGCCAAAAUAGAUCAAAUUCAUUACAAAACAAAUUUGAGGAUGUUUCUUCUAAAUAUUUAAACUAAUAUUGACUUAGAUAAUAUUUUCCAUUCACGCUAAAAAUCCAUGUUUUUCUGUUUCCAGAAAUUUCACUGAAAGUUAAGGAAUAAACAAAAUCAGACUUGAGAUAUAUAUUUGAAUAUCUAUCUCUGUAACUAAUCAUUUACCAGUGUAUUAAAUAGAAAUACUUGGAAGUUGCUCCAUACAGCAGAGGGCAGCAGUGAUAAAAUGGCCUAUCAAGCAGGUGAUUGCAUAUGUCUACUUUUAUCAA